GGGGUAGUAAAGGUUUCGACAGGGAUCUUGCAGCCGGUGAAGCUAUUCGUAUGCAAUGCGUUAAAUGGCAAACUUAAAUAUAAACGCUGAAGAUAAUUUAGCUUACGCUGCCUAAUGGCAGUUGUCUUACCUGUUAGACCUGCAUAGCAGACUAAGGCAUCAAACCUGCAGGAAACGACAUACAUUAAGCUUUGCGUGUAUGGGCGUAGCAUGAAGCUACUAAAGCUGUCAGGGUGUUAGUUCCCGGACGGUGGAGGGAAUGUCAAAGAACUGACUAUAAUAGUAGAAGAACGGGGAAUGGAUUUCUGGACACGAGUUCGACUCUCGUCUACUCCACUA
rfam:Roseburia sp. CAG:303 genomic scaffold, scf305